AGCAGUAUGGUGUAUCGUGCACACGGGUUCAACUUGUCUGUUGAAUUUAUCAUUAGGCCCGAGGUCCUUGUUCGAACCAAGGUACUGCUG